GUUGUAUCCCCCAACCCAAUCCAUUCCUCUUCGCUCGCCCCAAAUUUCGCUCUCGCUCGCCGGUUGUUGGCAGAAAUUGGAGCGGCCGGAGCGCGCGCGCGACGGAGGUGCGCGAGGUUGCGUUGGCGCGCGCGGGGUACUGCAGAGGUGCGCCCAGAGAAGGCCGCGGUGGGAGGUGCGCUAGGCCACAGGGGGAGGCGCGCGAGGCUGAGAUGGAAAGCUCGCUGUUGCGGUGGUGCGCGCGCGGCGAGGCUGUGUUUGUGCGCGCGCGCUUUGGAGGUGCGCGUGGCUGCGGUGCUGCGCGGGGGGACUGCAGACGAAACCGGUGAGCGGGGUGAAGGUACCCGGCGACGUUUUCAUUUCCGGCGGUUGAGUCUCCGCGGCUGAGGUAAGGUCCAGCUCCAUGCACCGUUCUGUGUUUCCAUUUUCUGCUCGGGUUAGGGUUCUUAGGUCAUGGGCGCAGGGUGGGGAGAGGGAAUCAUGCGCACAGAGAGGACUUUCGGCAGAUUUGUUUGUAUUCGAAACGGAUUUGCCUGAGAUUACAGUAGGAGUUGCCUGAAUCAUGUUAACUUAGUUGCUCGGAGUCUAUGACUGACUGAUGUAAACUGGUUUUUUGUGGAAUUUGAUGAGUUGCUUCAGUAUUGCGUAUGAGUUGCCCCGUUAAUGUUAAUCGAGUUGCCCAAUUCCGCCAUCUCCUGCAUACGACCAACCAAUCAAUCUGAUUCAACUGAAUUAGGAAUCCAUAGCAGCACAAUGCAUACUAUACUAGAGCGAGAUGACCGAACACUAAGCAUGACUAUUAGCCAUUGACUGUUAUCUGAAACGAACGAACGAAAAUCCAAACACCGUUGCAACUUGUUCUCUGAAUCUGACUGCCCUAUAAAGACUAGUUUACUAUAUGUACAAUCUGUGUAUUGAUGAUUCCAACUGAGCCGGGCAGUUAAUGAUGUGAUGAAUCAUCAGAAGAUGAUAUCACCAGUAGGAAUGGAAUGAAUAGUUAUCAAUCGGCCAUCUUCUCUUGUUUGCCCUCAUAGUUAAGUCAAUGAUGGUUGUCAAGUAAACAGAUGAGAUGAUGAUACAAAAAAGUCAGUAGUGCUGGUAAGGGAUUAUGCAUGUAUGUAUGUAUGUAUGUAUGUAUGUGGAGUAUGUAAUAAACAAUCUAGACAGAGGCUGUUCAUGCGCUCGGCAUUGUCAUUGUUGGGGUCCGGUUGGAUUCGGCUUGUCUGUAAGUCUCCCUUAACUAUUUCAAAGUGUAUUCACAAUAAUAACUAUUCAAAGCACAUGCUAUGUCUGUCCAAGAGCCUAGUUAAUAUUCUCACAUAACUGGAUCCUUUGCUUAUUGCAGUGAAGAGAAGCGAGAGGAAACUCACGGUGGUCUAGGCACAAAAUGCUAUCAACCCACUUGCUUGAAAAUUAUUUGCAUUUGCAUACAUCCCAGCAGGACUUGUUGUUUAUUUUCCCUCUUUGCAACCAAGAAGUUUUGCCAACCACUUCCAGGACUUGCUCUAUGGCCCCCCUUUAUUCGCAAGCAAAAAGGUUUCACCGACAACUUUCAGGUAAACUUCGCACAAGCCCAAGAUCUUUCCAACAUGUGUUUUUAUGCAUCCCCAGUAGCGGUUGUUAGUUUUAUUUGUUCAACAAAAAAGGGAAUUGCCUAAAACUUAUAUGUAAAUUGCCUACAUUGCAGAAGACUUGCUUUUGAUUUCCCGUUCUCCUUUCUUUGGUGACAAACUAAUAAGCUGGCUGCAAAAAUAGGUUUUGACUCACAAAAUUUGUGUAAACUACAAGAACAACUUGAGCCUUUUUGUGUCUGGCGAGUCGAUGGCGAUCGACAAUUUUUUCUAGGUGAGGCAAACCAUUGCUCUGCCUUGAAGUCAGGCAUUAUCUUGGCAAUGUUUGAGAGUGACACGAGUGGGAAGUUGCCUGGCAGAGGCUGCGAGUUACCUGAUCUGUGGGCGUGAGUUGCCAGAUGUGUAUUACAAGUUGUGAGAUCUACGGUUUUUUGAACUUGGCACUAGUGUGGUUCCCCCGUUUUUCAAAAACUUGCAUAACAAUUGAUAAGUAGUUGCUUGUUUUUGCUUUUCGAUUUGCCCAAUGGCUGUCGUUUAAACAUCAACCUGGACUAAAAAUGAGGGAUUAGGCAAGUCCACACUACUAGACUAGGCAAUUGACACACAAAACAAGCAAGUUAAACACAAAUGUUAGGCACAAACCUAGGGGGUAGGGGUUGUGUGCAGGUAAAUCACACAUACAGAACAUGCAUGUCACAUUCAAAGGUCAAGCAAGUAACAUACUCAACACUAGCAAGUCACAUUCAAAUGUCAAGCAAGUCACAUAGCCAACACCAGCCAGUUAGAUUAAAAUGUCAAGCAAGUCACAUGCUCAACACUAGUUGUAGGUAAGCUCUUCUUUUUUUCCCUUUCAAACACCCACAUGGUUUGUUUGACAUUUUCAGCAGGACUUGCUUGACAUUUGAAUGCGACUUGCUAGUGUUAAGUAUGUGACUUGUCAAUUCUUUUUUAGGCAAACUGUGACUUUGCAUGUUUCUGAAUGUGUGAUUUACCUGACACACAACCCCCUCUUUCCCACAUUUGAUGUUUGUUUAGGCAAAUUAUUUCUUAAUUUUCCAAACAAACCAACCUUGUAACUUGUGUGUUCCAUUGUCCAUGUUUUUUCGCCAAAUGAACAGUGCAUUGCAGCUAGAGUUGAGUAGAACUUGCUUGAUAUUUGAAUUUGACUUGCUACUGUUAAUUAAGCCUGUGACUUGCCUGCUGUUUAGGAAAACUGGGACAUGCCUGUUUCUCAAUGUGUGAUUUAUAUGACACACAACCCCCCUCCCACACCCCCUUGAAGUUUGUUUAGGCAAAUUAUUUCUUUGUUUUUUCAAACAACAAACCUAUCACUUGUCUUUUUCAAUGUCCACAUUUUUUUUCUGGAAGGAAAGAAGAAUCAGAGAGUGAUCCCUUUCCAACAGACUGAUCGAAUUCCAGCUGACUCUUAUCGCUAACUUGACUCGGUCUAAGGGCACAAGGUUUAUGUCUAUCCCUAGCAAGUCAGAGUGCAUUACAUAGUGCAUUUGAGCUAGUGAUGAGUAGGACUUGGUUGACAUUUGGGCCUGACUUGCUAGUGUUAAGUAUGUGACUUGCUUGACAUUUGGAAAACCUUUUGUUCCUCUUAAAAUGUGUGUUUGUGUGUGAUAUCCAGCCUAUUUAUUUUAACGAAACCUGAGUUCCUUUUUAUUGCCUUUGCAAAGAAGCAAGCAUGAUCACUUCUUUCUCUUCAAGAAUUUUCUUUUUUUACAGGUAACCACAUCAGCUCAGCCAACUGUGUUCAGAUUUAUUUCCUUUUCUCAAGCAUGUUUUUUAAUUUUUUGUGCAGUUUUUAAUAACUAGCAUGUAUGUAUUUGCAUGUUUUACAACGGAGAUUGCAUUUUACAAAGCAUAGGAGAGUCGGGUGUUCUUCAUGGUGCGGGAUCACCUGCAUAGGUACUGGUGGUUUUCUGGGGUUGUUUAUGUCAAGAGCAACCAUGGUCAGAGGAGGAGGAAGAACUAACCCGUCGGCUGGAGAAGAUGGGGCAGAGGUGGUUGCUGCGGGAGUGGCGACGCUGCUGCUGCUGGAUUUUGGCCUUGUAGGAACUUUGAUCCAUGGAUUUGGAACCAUGGGGGAAAAGGGGGAGGAAGAAGGAGGGGAACAGGAGGUAGGGAGAGGCGUUCGCGUGGGACGCACGCUGUGCAGGUGUGCGGGAGCGGUUACGAUCACAGGAGAUUCGUUGUCGGCCAUGUGCGGGAGUGGUUACACCCCUUUCCUUUUCUGUCGUGCCAACUGUCCAGGGGUUUUCACUUUCCUUUUUUUGGUGUGUGCCCUACAAUACUAACUAGCCAACAUGUGCUCCCUAGUCACAUCCUAUAUACAAUAAUAGAAGUGCCUAAGCUAGAAACAAAGUCGUGCAUCUGAAGUACUUGGCUGAGCUCUCAA